CAGGAAUAAACGGAGCACGCAGCCGAAUCGUCGCAUCAUCGAAUCGUCAUGAUCGUACAGACUAAACGGUAAAGACUGAAUGCAGUGUUCCUGAGAUUCUACAGGCAGGAGAGAGCACGCUCACACCGCCGGCAGCUGAAGAAAAGAGGAGUGAGCGGAGCGGUCAGCAUGAGGUCCAGAAUCACAGCAGACUGAGCUGAGGGGACACCUAAUUACUGCUGUCCAUUUCACUGUUAAUCAUCAGCCCUGGCCUGCGGGAGGGCGGAGCGUGGGAUUUGAUUGACGGGCC
rnacentral:lncRNA from 1 species